GAUCUAUCUCCUUCCAGCCUAAAGCAACUGGUGGCAACAGCGAUAAUACACUGUCCUCCAAUCAAGCAUCAGGCACUAACCUUGUUUCUUCAAAGGAAGAUGAGUCUGUCAUCUAUGCUGAAACAGCAAAAACAUAAACAUGAAGAGAGUGGAAAGUAAAGGCUUGGACUUUGACGAGCGCAACG